rnacentral:tRNA from 1 species
AAGAAGUACUGAAAAUGUUAAUUGAGGCUGCUAACUUUAAUUAGGGAUUACUGUUUCCACUUUUUA